rnacentral:rRNA from 1 species
AGUGAACGCUGGCGGUAGGCCUAACACAUGCAAGUCGAACGGCAGCACAGUAAGAGCUUGCUCUUACGGGUGGCGAGUGGCGGACGGGUGAGGAAUACAUCGCAAUCUACUUUUUCGUGGGGGAUAACGUAGGGAAACUUACGCUAAUACCGCAUACGACCUACGGGUGAAAGCAGGGGAUCUUCGGACCUUGCGCGAUUGAAUGAGCCGAUGUCGGAUUAGCUAGUUGGCGGGGUAAAGGCCCACCAAGGCGACGAUCCGUAGCUGGUCUGAGAGGAUGAUCAGCCACACUGGAACUGAGACACGGUCCAGACUCCUACGGGAGGCAGCAGUGGGGAAUAUUGGACAAUGGGCGCAAGCCUGAUCCAGCCAUACCGCGUGGGUGAAGAAGGCCUUCGGGUUGUAAAGCCCUUUUGUUGGGAAAGAAAAGCAGCAGGUUAAUACCCCGCUGUUCUGACGGUACCCAAAGAAUAAGCACCGGCUAACUUCGUG